AUUGAACGCUGGCGGCGUGCUUAACACAUGCAAGUCGUGCGGUAACAGGCGUAGCAAUACGUGCUGACGAGCGGCGAACGGGUGCGUAAUACAUGGGAAUCUGCCUUUUAGUGGGGAAUAACCCGGCGAAGGCCGGGCUAAUGCCGCAUAAGAUCUUCGGAUGAAAGCGGGGGAUCGUAAGACCUCGCGCUGAUAGAUGAGCCCAUGCCGGAUUAGCAGUUGGUGAGGUAACGGCUCACCAAGGCGACGAUCCGUAGCUGGUCUGAGAGGACGGCCAGCCACACUGGGACUGAGACACGGCCCAGACUCCUACGGGAGGCAGCAGUGGGGAAUAUUGGACAAGUGGGGAAACCCUGAUCCAGCGACGCCGCGUGUGUGAAGAAGGCCU
rnacentral:rRNA from 1 species